rnacentral:lncRNA from 1 species
CCCUCGACCACAACCACAAAUUGAGGGAAAACAAACAUUCUUUCCCAUUCACCCCCAGUGUAAAAGAGCUAACUUUGUUGUGGAUUUUACACUGGGGGUGAAUGGUGAAAUGCUGCUGUGUUGUUCAAUGUACAUGUAUCCAGGUAAAAAAUCCCAUACCUACAGAUCGCAAUGCUCCCAAGUAGGGAAAUAGCCUGCGAGAAGAGCAUUGCGGUUGCCGGAUAUUCGGCGUGGGAAAUGUAGGGACCCGGUGGCCUAGUAGACUACACGUAGCUAUGUGUGUGGAAGACAUUACAUCACAGGCGGACGUUCUAUUUAACAAUGACUUGGUCUAUCGGACUGUUCCUACGCCUACCUGACCACUCUGCCUGCCCCUGAGCCUGCCUGCCGUCCUGUACCUUUGCCGCCACUCUGGAUUAACGGCCCCUGCCUGCCUUCACCUGUCGUUUGCCUGCCC